UACCUCAGUAACGGCGAGUGAAGCGGUAACAGCUCAAAUUUGAAAUCUGGGUCUUUCAGGCUCCGAGUUGUAAUUUGUAGAAGAUGCUUUGGGUGCGGCCCCGGUCUAAGUUCCUUGGAACAGGACGUCAUAGAGGGUGAGAAUCCCGUAUGUGAUCGGUGGCCUGCGCCCGUGUAAAGCUCUUUCGACGAGUCGGGUUGUUUGGGAAUGCAGCUCUAAAUGGGUGGUAAAUUUCAUCUAAAGCUAAAUACUGGCCAGAGACCGAUAGCGCACAAGUAGAGUGAUCGAAAGAUGAAAAGGACUUUGGAAAGAGAGUUAAACAGUACGUGAAAUUGUUGAAAGGGAAGCGCUUGCAACCAGACUUGCGCGGGGUUGAUCAUCCGGGGUUCUCCCCGGUGCACUCGGCCUCGCUCAGGCCAGCAUCGGUUUCGGUGGUUGGAUAAAGGCCUUGGGAAUGUGGCUCCUCUCGGGGAGUGUUAUAGCCCUCGGUGCAAUGCAGCCUACUGGGACCGAGGACCGCGCUUCGGCUAGGAUGCUGGCGUAAUGGUUGUAAGCGACCCGUCUUGAAACACGGACCAAGGAGUCUAACAUCUAUGCGAGUGUUUGGGUGUCAAACCCAUACGCGUAAUGAAAGUGAACGGAGGUGAGAACCCUUAAGGGUGCAUCAUCGACCGAUCCUGAUGUCUUCGGAUGGAUUUGAGUAGGAGCAUAGCUGUUGGGACCCGAAAGAUGGUGAACUAUGCCUGAAUAGGGUGAAGCCAGAGGAAACUCUGGUGGAGGCUCGCAGCGGUUCUGACGUGCAAAUCGAUCGUCAAAUUUGGGUAUAGGGGCGAAAGACU
rnacentral:rRNA from 1 species